rnacentral:lncRNA from 1 species
UUUUUUUGAUUGAAAGUGAAAGGAUUGAAGAGUUGGAAGAGAUCUCAAAAGACUAUGCAUGUCUCUAUUUAGAUCACACCAGCUGGUUAUUGGCCUUAUUCUUGGAGUCCAGAGAUGUGUUCCAAUGAGGUGGCAACUGAUACAUGGUUAUAAGUAUGACUAGCUUCAUGUCAAGACAUACCCUUGAAAGUUAUACAAGAAAAAUCACAAUUUUCUAAAUCAAAUACUUAUAAAACAGUUGUUAGAAUAUGCUAUUGAAAGACUCCUAGGGUGACUGCUCCUUUGCAAAACAGGUAACCACUCCCAAAUUUACAUGGUCUGCAAACCCCAAUUUUCACACAUCUGCUUUGAUUCAAGCUUAAUAUCCUUUCCUGAAUGCAGUUCAUUUUCAUCUCCUGA